UUUUGUUCUCAGUGGUUAGUCAACUCCUUAUCAUGUUCGUUAGCCGUUGUUUCUGCUGUGGAAAGCCUCUCAAGCCUGGCGGUUCACGCGCUCUUGCCCUCGUUCUCUUCAUUGUCAGCUGGAUGUUCUUCUUGAUAGCAGAGAUAUGUCUAUUAGCUGGAUCGGUGGAGAAUGCAUACCACACAAAGUACAGGACAAUGUUCAUGGACAAUCCUCCUGAUUGUCAAACUCUUCGUAAGGGGGUCUUCGCAGCCGGAGCCUCAUUUGUCUUCUUCAACGCUAUUGUCUCUCAAUUUUACUAUUUCUUCUAUUCAUCGGCUGCUGAGGCCUCCCUUUCACCUUACUAAUAAUUCUUAACCAACACACAUAAGUUUUUUUUGUUUUUUCCUUGUGCUAUGUGAUAUGCUAAUAUCAUAUUUUCUGCUUGUUUAUGUAUGACUGCAAACUUAUUUGAAACUGAGGGUACAACUAUGUGUUUUGUAGAUUGAUUUGUAUGGAUAUUUUUUUUGGUUUAAUGUCAAUUUUUGUAUGGUUAUUAAAUGAAAAUGUUGUUUUUAAUA